rnacentral:rRNA from 1 species
CCUACGGGGGGCAGCAGUGGGGAAUAUUGCACAAUGGGGGAAACCCUGAUGCAGCGACGCCGCGUGAGUGAGGAAGUAUUUCGGUAUGUAAAGCUCUAUCAGCAGGGAAGAAAAAAUGACGGUACCUGACUAAGAAGCACCGGCUAAAUACGUGCCAGCAGCCGCGGUAAUACGUAUGGUGCAAGCGUUAUCCGGAUUUACUGGGUGUAAAGGGAGCGCAGGCGGUACGGCAAGUCUGAUGUGAAAGCCCGGGGCUCAACCCCGGUACUGCAUUGGAAACUACCGGACUGGAGUGUCGGAGGGGG